ACGCUAGCUACAGGCUUAACACAUGCAAGUCGAGGGGCAUCAGGAAGAAAGCUUGCUUUCUUUGCUGGCGACCGGCGCACGGGUGAGUAACACGUAUCCAACCUGCCCUUUACUCGGGGAUAGCCUUUCGAAAGAAAGAUUAAUACCCGAUAGCAUAAUGAUUCCGCAUGGUUUCAUUAUUAAAGGAUUCCGGUAAAGGAUGGGGAUGCGUUCCAUUAGGUUGUUGGUGAGGUAACGGCCCACCAAGCCUUCGAUGGAUAGGGGUUCUGAGAGGAAGGUCCCCCACAUUGGAACUGAGACACGGUCCAAACUCCUACGGGAGGCAGCAGUGAGGAAUAUUGGUCAAUGGGCGCUAGCCUGAACCAGCCAAGUAGCGUGAAGGAUGAAGGCUCUAUGGGUCGUAAACUUCUUUUAUAUAAGAAUAAAGUGCAGUAUGUAUACUGUUUUGUAUGUAUUAUAUGAAUAAGGAUCGGCUAACUCCGUGCCAGCAGCCGCGGUAAUACGGAGGAUCCGAGCGUUAUCCGGAUUUAUUGGGUUUAAAGGGAGCGUAGGUGGACUGGUAAGUCAGUUGUGAAAGUUUGCGGCUCAACCGUAAAAUUGCAGUUGAUACUGUCAGUCUUGAGUACAGUAGAGGUGGGCGGAAUUCGUGGUGUAGCGGUGAAAUGCUUAGAUAUCACGAAGAACUCCGAUUGCGAAGGCAGCUCACUGGACUGCAACUGACACUGAUGCUCGAAAGUGUGGGUAUCAAACAGGAUUAGAUACCCUGGUAGUCCACACAGUAAACGAUGAAUACUCGCUGUUUGCGAUAUACAGUAAGCGGCCAAGCGAAAGCAUUAAGUAUUCCACCUGGGGAGUACGCCGGCAACGGUGAAACUCAAAGGAAUUGACGGGGGCCCGCACAAGCGGAGGAACAUGUGGUUUAAUUCGAUGAUACGCGAGGAACCUUACCCGGGCUUAAAUUGCAGUGGAAUGAUGUGGAAACAUGUCAGUGAGCAAUCACCGCUGUGAAGGUGCUGCAUGGUUGUCGUCAGCUCGUGCCGUGAGGUGUCGGCUUAAGUGCCAUAACGAGCGCAACCCUUAUCUUUAGUUACUAACAGGUUAUGCUGAGGACUCUAGAGAGACUGCCGUCGUAAGAUGUGAGGAAGGUGGGGAUGACGUCAAAUCAGCACGGCCCUUACGUCCGGGGCUACACACGUGUUACAAUGGGGGGUACAGAAGGCAGCUAGCGGGUGACCGUAUGCUAAUCCCAAAAUCCUCUCUCAGUUCGGAUCGAAGUCUGCAACCCGACUUCGUGAAGCUGGAUUCGCUAGUAAUCGCGCAUCAGCCACGGCGCGGUGAAUACGUUCCCGGGCCUUGUACACACCGCCCGUCAAGCCAUGGGAGCCGGGGGUACCUGAAGUACGUAACCGCAAGGAUCGUCCUAGGGUAAAACUGGAGA
rnacentral:rRNA from 1 species